rnacentral:rRNA from 1 species
GAUGAACGCUGGCGGCGUGCCUAACACAUGCAAGUCGAACGAAAAGAUCAGGAGCUUGCUCCGUUGACGUUAGCGGCGGACGGGUGAGUAACACGUGGAUAACCUACCUAUAUGUCUGGGAUAAUUUCGGGAAACCGGCGAAAAUACCGGAUAAUAUAUUGAACCGCAUGGUUCAAUAGUGAAUGACGGCUUUGGUGGAUCUUAUAGCUGGAUCCGCGCCGCAUUGGCUGGUUGGUAAGGUAACGGCUUACCAAGGCUACGAUGCGUAUCCGACCUGAGAGGGUGGUCGCCCACACUGGAACUGAGCCACGGUCCAGACUCCUACGGGAGGCAGCAGUAGGGAAUCUUCCGCAAUGGGCGAAAGCCUGACGGAGCAACGCCGCGUGAGUGAUGAAGGUCUUCGGAGCGUAAAGCUCUGUUAUGAGGGAAGAACAACUGUGUAAGUAACUAUGCACGUCUUGACGGUACCUAAUCAGAAAGCCACGGCUAACUACGUG